rnacentral:sRNA from 3 species
UAUUCUACCCAGUCGGGAAGGAUGAGAAGCUUCGACUAAGGUUCGAUUCGAGCGUAGCGAGAAAGCGUUGCCGCAGGCAACGACCCGAAGGGCGAAGCGCGCAGCGCUGAGUCAUCCUUCCCCCACCACCA